rnacentral:lncRNA from 1 species
UUUGUUAAAUUCUUUUAAGGGGUUUAGAAAAAUUGUUACCCAUAUUUUGAAAGAUGUAGAGAAUGUCUGUUAUUCAUUCUUUGUUUUUUCCCCCUAUUUUUAGAAGAAAAGGGGGUGUUGAAAAAUAAAUUGGAAAUUCAAAAACGAGACAAUGACUAACAUAUGACUAUAUCGGACAAUACAAAAAUCUUUUUUUUAAUUUUUAGACACAAACACACACACACAUUCUGUCGACUUUAAUGCUUAUGUUUGUAAACAUAAAAGGGGUGUACCAAAGUAUAAUUUUAUAAUAACUAUAAUUUAUUGUUUCUUGAGCAUCCAAUUCAGACAACAAUGCAAAGACCUUUUCAACAGAAUCAAGAAAAAGCUGCUCUAAAUAUA